rnacentral:rRNA from 1 species
AUUGAACGCUGGCGGCAUGCCUUACACAUGCAAGUCGAGCGGUAACGGGUCCUUCGGGAUGCCGACGAGUGGCGAACGGGUGAGUAAUAUAUCGGAGCGUGCCCAGUAGUGGGGGAUAACUGCUCGAAAGAGCAGCUAAUACCGCAUACGACCUGAGGGUGAAAGGGGGGGAUCGCAAGACCUCUCGCUAUUGGAGCGGCCGAUAUCAGAUUAGCUAGUUGGUGGGGUAAAGGCCUACCAAGGCAACGAUCUGUAGUUGGUCUGAGAGGACGACCGGCCACACUGGGACUGAGACACGGCCCAGACUCCCACGGGAGGCAGCAGUGGGGAAUUUUGGACCAUGGGCGCAAGCCUGAUCCAGCAAUGCCGCGUGCAGGAAGAAGGCCUUCGGGUUGUAAACUGCUUUUGUCAGGGAAGAAAUCUUCUGGGCUAAUACCCCGGGAGGAUUACGGUACCUGAAGAAUAAGCACCGGCUAACUACGUGCCAGCAGCCGCGGUAA